GAUAAGUAGUUUGCGAAUCAUGUGACAUUCGUAAUAUUGCUCUGUGAGUUUUCAUGUUCAUCAUGAAUCAGUUGCUGUUGCUGCUAGAAAAUACAGUUGCAUUAGGAAGUCCUCGAGUUACGACGUACUCGACCUACGACUUUUCGACCCCCGUGCCUCGUCCGCCAUUUUGUCCCCAGCACCGUAGUGUUUCUGCUUAGCUAGUGCAGAUGAUCCAAGAAGACGAAUCCACAGAAUCCCCAGAAGAAAGGCAUUUCACAACCAAGGGCAUAGCUGAGGCAUUUUCACUUCUAGAACAAGCCAUGGUGCGAAUUGAGGCAGAGGAUCCCAAUAUGGAACGAUUUUUGAAUGUUUCAAGGGGAGUGUACGGUGCUACCGUGAGAUCUGGGAGGAAAAUAGGAAGAUUUCCUACCAGACGGACAUCUGCCAGUACUUCACCAAGGUGGAGAGGCCAGUAGAACCUGCACAUACUUCCUCAGCAAUAGCUCUCACAGCCUCCCCUCCUUCUUCUCCAUGCACCUCUCAGCAGUAAUGACUGACUAUGUCUUCAAGCUCAUCUGCAAGAUCCCUCCUGCCACUCUCAAUCAUGGCUGCCAUCAAUCGAGCCACCGCCCCAGGCCCGGCGCUCUUCUGUCCUCUGGCCCAGUGGAAGAGCAUGUCCAGUA